GACCCGGUGGUGUAUUCGGUUAACACACUCCAGAAGCUCCUAGCCACUUUACAGUGAAUUGCGAUAAUGGACUUCUGGAGAGAAGGAGGUUCGAGGCCUUCCCGGGACA